UACGGAGGGUGCGAGCGUUGUCCGGAAUCACUGGGCGUAAAGGGCGCGUAGGCGGCGCGAGCAGUCGAUCGUGAAAGUCCGGAGCUCAACUCCGGAUCGGCGGUCGAUACUCUCGUGCUUGAGCACUGUAGAGGCAGAUGGAAUUCCGGGUGUAGCGGUGGAAUGCGUAGAGAUCCGGAAGAACACCGGUGGCGAGGGCGGUCUGCUGGGCAGUUGCUGACGCUGAUGCGCGACAGCGUGGGGAGCAAACAGG
rnacentral:rRNA from 1 species